AGCCUUUAGCAAAAAGUAUUAAAGGUCACGCCUGCCCAGUGAAAAUUUUAAACGGCCGCGGGAUCUUCCACCGUGCAAAGGUAGCAUAAUCACUUGUCCCCUAAAUAGUGACUAGUAUGAAUGGCCAAAUGAAGAUUUAACUGUCUCUUAUAUUUGAUCCUUGAAAUUAAUCUACCAGUACAAAAGCUGGAAUAUAAACAUAAGACGAAAAGACCCUAUGGAACUUCAAGUAAUACUCUAAUAUAUAGAUUUAAAACUUUUAGUUGGGGCAACUCAGGAAAUAAAAAAAACUUCCAAUAAAAAUUUAAGAUAGACAUAUCUUUUUAUAAAGACCCAGUCCUUACUGACCAAAGAACCAAGCUACCCUAGGGAUAACAGCGCCAUCCCCUCUAAGAGCCCAAAUCGACGAGUGGGGUUUACGACCUCGAUGUUGGAUCAGGACCCCCAAACAGUGCAACAGCUGUUAAAGGUUUGUUUGUUCAACAAUUAAAGUCCU
rnacentral:rRNA from 1 species